rnacentral:rRNA from 1 species
UACGGAGGGUGCGAGCGUUGUCCGGAAUCACUGGGCGUAAAGGGCGCGUAGGCGGCCUGAUAAGUAGGGGGUGAAAUCCUGCGGCUUAACCGCAGGGCUGCCUUCUAAACUGUCAGGCUCGAGCACAGUAGAGGCAGGUGGAAUUCCCGGUGUAGCGGUGGAAUGCGUAGAGAUCGGGAAGAACAUCAGUGGCGAAGGCGGCCUGCUGGGCUGUUGCUGACGCUGAG